UACUGAGGAUGCUUGUAAUUAAAACUUAGUGCUCUUUGAAGAGCCACCAUGCUUCGUGGCAAAGUUCCCAGGUAGGAUUGGCUCUUGCAUCUCUCUGUGGCAGUGCUCUUGCGCCUUCUGAUGAGGAACGUGGUGUGCGUCAUUGCCAGGUGUGGGUGAGCUUGGGGCUUUUCCAGGGUGGCACUUUUUGUCUCUGAGUUUUUUUCAAAUCUGAAGUUAAAGCCUGGAGUAAAGCAGUAGGUGGCACUACAGACUCUCUGUUCUUCAGGGAACUUUUCACAGUAAUUCCUCCUUGCCAGCCUGCCCUGAACAAGUGUCCAUGUUUCCAAAAAUAACAGGGCUGUUUCCAAGUUUUCUUGAAAUAUAUGCACGGCUGGUUAGUCAUUCAUAAUCACUUCUUUGCAAACACUGUGGAUAUUUCACAUAAGAGCAGCACGUCAGAAAUGGGAGUUUUGCAGGAAUUCCCAAUAUUGUGGAAAGGAGCCCCUGAAAGAAGUGCAAGUUUUGGUUAUACAACAAAUACCUAGACCAGGACAAAUGAAGGAGUGAAACCACUGCCAUGGAUUCUUCAGGAUGAAUGAUGCAGAAGAUGAAGCAGAAUAGGCCAGGUUGGAUGGAUCUUGGAGCAGCCUGGCCUAGUGCGAGGUGUCCCUGCCCAUGGCAGGAGGCUGGAAUGAGAUGAUCUUUAAAAUCCCUUCCACUCCCAACUAUUCUAUGAUUCUGUAUCAUUCUUUGUACUACACAUGAGAGCUUGCUGCAGGCCUGGCCUGAAGUGCCUCAGGCAGAAACAGUAAAAGGCUCCCAAGUUGAUGAAGAGGUUUUAGCAAUGUUUUGGAGCAAUUAUCCUUUUCUCAGAGAGUUGUAAGGGUAGCUGCCUGCACUGACUCAAAGCUGUGGGCGGGAGCUUGGUGUCAGCAUGGUCUUGCUCCUGUGGGGCUGAAGCAGUUGCAGGCUCCGGGACUGAGCCACGUCCUGCUUGUGGAAGAGAACAAACUUGAACCAAAGUCACUGCACAUUCUUGCUCUGCCUGCACCAGUGCCUUUGCUCAGGUCCUACAGACUGGAACACUUUCCGUGCUGAAAACUUAUGUCCAAACAUGUCAUGGUUUGGAUUUCCUGCUGCUGAGAUCUGUCUGCUGGAGCCUCUUGCAUGACAAGUUUAUGCUAAAUCUUCCUAAGAAUUUGAACUUUGUCCCUUCUUCCUUGCUCCCUUCCCUACCAACCUGGUCCCAUCUGCCCCUCAUAUUGUGACUCUUGCACACUGAUUCACAAACCCCAUAUUCCAUCUGUUAUUUGGGGAAGUAUAAAAGCACCUGCUUUUGGCAGGGGAUUAAAAACAGCUGGUAAUAAAGGAAUUAAUGGGACAUGUGAACAUGCUUAAAGCUUCAGCACCUGAAGAUACUGGCCAGUUAUGCUUCCCAUGUGUUGGUGAUGGCUGUUUCCUUUCCAUGCACAGGGAGCUGCCAAAACAGGGCUCUGAACUACUUGAUACCUGAAGUGGUGUAAAUAACAAAGGUGAUCGUUUUAGCUGCCUAUACUGCUGCAAAUGUGAUUGCCAUUUUUAAUUUGAUUUUUCUACCAACCUUGGUUCUUGAAGACAUAGACUGUUUUCUUUGCUAUCCAGGAACUCAUGGUGUGAAGGAAGAACAAUAAAGAUGGGAGCAGCAUGGGAAAACUACAGCCCAGGACAGAGCAAUGUUUAUGAUUUUUUUUUGUUUGUUUUUCCCUGCUGAAAAAGCAAGUAUUUGAUUCUGUUUCUUUUUGCUUAAACUCUGUCUUGAGAGAUCAGCCUAAAAAAGCCUGAAUCAAUUAGAAAACAAAGAAAUGUUGUCCAAAGACUGUGCAAUGAAUUUCAGUUUGAAGAGACCCAGGACAAAUGGAUUGCUUUGAGCCCAGAUCUACAAGGGGCACAGCCUCUGCCUUCCAGGGUCUUCUCCUGGGUCCCUGUCCCUCUGAGGGGCAACCCGAGGCUCCAGCUCUGCCUCAUCUUGGAGGAGCCUCCCCUCCUCUCUCCAUGGACUGCCAGGGAGCCUAGGGAGAUCAGCUUCAAUAAGGUGUUACACUGUGCUGGUUGAAAUGUUUCUACUCCCUCCUGUCUGCUGAGAACAGAUACUUUAAAUUUUGUUCAUUUUAUUUUUAAAUUUUUUUUUAUUUUUUUAAUGAAUUGGAGAUUUUAAGCUCUUAUUUUGCCCCAUUCUCUAAGCCUGUCCUGCAGACUAGAAGCUGCUCAUCCUC
rnacentral:lncRNA from 1 species